AUUCUUUUCUAGUACAUAAGCGUGAUGAUUAGGCAUUCACAUGUUUGUGUGAUAUGUACCUUUUAAACUUUGUUACUACAAUGUCACGUUGCCUUUCUUACA